AUUAUGGCUGUGAAGAGGAGCAGUAGUGCGAUUCGCACCGGAAGAAGAGAGCCGGCGGCUGGUGCAAGCCGGACCGGUGGGCGCGCGAACUCGCCUCGGAGCCGCAUUCGUGAACCGGCGCAAUCCCGCGCCGACAGCGAUGCCGUACGGCCCGCGUUAAGGGCCUCGAGUGGACAGCGGCGAAGCACGCCGGCUGUCAACUAGGGUGGUACCGCGGGAGAAGCCUCUCGUCCCUGGC
rnacentral:ncRNA from 1 species